CCUACGGGAGGCAGCAGUGGGGAAUCUUGCGCAAUGGGCGAAAGCCUGACGCAGCAACGCCGCGUGCGGGAAGAAGGCCUUCGGGUUGUAAACCGCUUUCAGAAGGAACGAAACUGACGGUACUUUCAGAAGAAGGUGCGGCCAACUACGUGCCAGCAGCCGCGGUGACACGUAGGCACCAAGCGUUGUCCGGAUUUAUUGGGCGUAAAGAGCUCGUAGGCGGUUCGAUAAGUCGGGUGUGAAAACUUUGGGCUCAACCCAAAGCGUGCAUUCGAUACUGUUGUGACUAGAGUUCGGUAGGGGAGUGGGGAAUUCCUAGUGUAGCGGUGAAAUGCGCAGAUAUUAGGAGGAACACCGGUGGCGAAGGCGCCACUCUGGGCCGAAACUGACGCUGAGGAGCGAAAGCGUGGGUAGCAAACAGGAUUAGAUACCCUGGUAGUCCACGCCGUAAACGUUGGGCACUAGGUGUGGGUUCCAACCAACGGAAUCCGCGCCGUCGCAAACGCAUUAAGUGCCCCGCCUGGGGAGUACGCGCAGUAACUACAAGAAGUAGAGCGNGAGAGNGCGAGCGACGACGAGGGAGUAG
rnacentral:rRNA from 1 species